rnacentral:rRNA from 1 species
AGAGUUUGAUCCUGGCUCAGGGUUAACGCUGGCGGCGUGCCUAACACAUGCAAGUCGAGCGAGGGCUGGUCUUCCGCAAGGGAGGCGAGUACCUAGCGGCGAACGGGUGAGUAACACGUGGGCAACCUGUCCUCUUGUGGGGGAUAACACCGAGAAAUCGGUGCUAAUACCGCAUGACAUCGUUGGAGGCAUCUCUGGCG